UUUAGCCACACGUAUUCUCUACACUGUGAAGACACUCUACAGAAGAGAGUAUGAGUUGAUUCCUUGCAAAAGAGAAUUUAUGAUGGUUUGGCAGUAGAAGGAAAAGAAACAGAUGGUUGUCUUCAUCAGUACCACACGGUCCCUGGGAAAUUCCAGUUGCAUCUCUAUAAUUUCAGCUACCAGAUACUGAUGACUCCUAAAGCCUACCCACAUUUACCAACUGAGAUCCGGUUGUUUUCCUGAGGUCUUCACCCUGUUACUGCUGAUUCACCAUGUCCAAAACAAGCCUUCUCACCAUGGGUUCCAUGCCCCGUUGACACAAGUCCCUAACCUUCCCC
rnacentral:lncRNA from 1 species